rnacentral:rRNA from 1 species
GACGAACGCUGGCGGCGUGCUUAACACAUGCAAGUCGAACGGAAAGGCCCUGCUUUUGUGGGGUGCUCGAGUGGCGAACGGGUGAGUAACACGUGAGUAACCUGCCCUUGACUUUGGGAUAACUUCAGGAAACUGGGGCUAAUACCGGAUAGGAGCUCCUGCUGCAUGGUGGGGGUUGGAAAGUUUCGGCGGUGGGGGAUGGACUCGCGGCUUAUCAGCUUGUUGGUGGGGUAGUGGCUUACCAAGGCUUUGACAGGUAGCCGGCCUGAGAGGGUGACCGGCCAGAUUGGGACUGAGAUGCGGCCCAGACUCCUACGGGAGGCAGAAGUGGGGAAUAUUGGACGAUGGGCGGAAGCCUGAUGCAGCAACGCCGCGUGCGGGAUGACGGCCUUCGGGUUGUAAACCGCUUUCGCCUGUGACGAAGCGUGAGUGACGGUAAUGGGUAGAGAAGCAGCGGCUAAGUAGGUG